AAACCAAUCAAGGCCUGCUCUUUCCUGGCCCUGGCCACCUUUCCUGCCUCCAGCCUCCUCCCUCCAGCCUCCUGCCUUCACCCUCCUGCCUCCAGCCUCCUGCCUCCAGCCUCCAGCCUUAAGCCUCCUGCCUCCAGCCUUCAGCCUCCUACCUCUAGCCUCCUGCCUUCAGCCUCCUGCCUCCUGCCUUCAGCCUCCUGCCUCCUGCCUCCAGCCUCCUGCAAACCAGCCUCCUGCCUGCAAUCUUCUGCCUUCACCCUCCUGCCUCCUGCCUCCUGCCUCCAGCUUCCUGUCUUCAGCCUCCUGCCUCCAGCCUCCUGCCUGCAAUCUUCUGCCUUCACCCUCCAGCUUCCUGCCUCCAGCCUCCUACCUCCAACCUCCUGCCUUCAGCCUCCUGCCUUCAGCCUCCUGCCUCCAGUCUCCAGCCUCCUGCCUGAAGUCUCCUACCUCCAGCCUUCAGUCUCCUGCCUCCAGCCUCCUGCCCUCAACCUCCUGCCUCUAACCUCCUGCCUCCAGCCUCCUGCCUUCAGCCUCCUAUCUUCAGCCUCCUGCCUUUACCCUCCCACCUCCAGACUCCUGCCUUCAGCCUCCUGCCUCCUGCCUCCAGCCUCCAGCCUUCAGCCUCCUACCUCUAGCCUCCUGCCUUCAGCCUCCUGCCUUCAGCCUCCUGCCUCCCGUCUCCAGCCUCCAGCCUUCAGCCUUCAGCCUCCUGCAAACCAGCCUCCUGCCUGCAAUCUUCUGCCUUCACCCUCCUGCCUCCUGCCUCCUGCCUCCAGCCUCCUGCCUUCAGCCUCCUGCCUCCAGCCUCCUGCCUGCAAUCUUCUGCCUUCACCCUCCAGCUUCCUGCCUCCAGCCUACCUCCAACCUCCUGCCUUCAGCCUCCUGCCUUCAGCCUCCUGCCUCCAGUCUCUAGCCUCCUGCCUGAAGUCUCCUACCUCCAGCCUCCAGCCUCCUGCCUUCAGGCUCCUGCCUCCAGCCUCCUGCCUGCAAUCUUCUGCCUUCACCCUCCAGCUUCCUGCCUCCAGCCUACCUCCAACCUCCUGCCUUCAGCCUCCUGCCUUCAGCCUCCUGCCUCCAGUCUCUAGCCUCCUGCCUUCAGCCUCCUGCCUCCUGCCUUCAGCCUCCUGCCUCCCGUCUCCAGCCUCCAGCCUUCAGCCUUCAGCCUCCUGCAAACCAGCCUCCUGCCUGCAAUCUUCUGCCUUCACCCUCCUGCCUCCUGCCUCCAGCCUCCUGCCUUCAGCCUCCUGCCUCCAGCCUCCUGCCUGCAAUCUUCUGCCUUCACCCUCCAGCUUCCUGCCUCCAGCCUACCUCCAACCUCCUGCCUUCAGCCUCCUGCCUUCAGCCUCCUGCCUUCAGCCUCCUGCCUCCAGUCUCUAG
rnacentral:lncRNA from 1 species